AGGGAUAUUGGUCAAUGGGCGCAAGCCUGAACCAGCGACGCCGCGUGGGUGAAGAAGGUCUUCGGAUCGUAAAGCCCUUUUCCCACUGAAGAGGAAGGACGGUAGGUGGGGAAGAAGUCUCGGCUAACUACGUGCCAGCAGCCGCGGUAAAACGUAGGAGACAAGCGUUAUCCGGAGUUACUGGGCGUAAAGGGCGUGCAGGUGGCGUCUUAAGUCUGUUGUGAAAGCGCCUGGCUUAACCGGGCGAGGCCAAUGGAGACUGAGAGGCUGGAGGACGGCGGAGGGGUGUGGAAUUCCGGGGGUAGUGGUGAAAUGCGUAGAGAUCCGGGGGAACACCAGAGGCGAAGGCGGCACUCUAAGCCGUACCUGACACUGAGACGCGACAGCACGGGGAGCAAACG
rnacentral:rRNA from 1 species